CGAUUCCUGGGGAUGGCAGGAUUUUACCGUCGCUUUUGUAAAAACUUUUCUACGUCUGCCAUUUAAACUGGACAUAGAUGCCAGUGCUGUUGGGGUAGGAGCUGUCCUUCUGCAGGAUGAUAAAGACGGAAUAGAGCAUCCCGUAAGCUACUUCUCAAGGAAGUUUAAUCUUCAUCAAGGAUGUACAAUCAAAAUCAAAGACUUAUGCGGUGGGCUUUGAUCAUUCAGGAGUACAACCUGAAGAUCUGCCAUAAAAAGGGGUCUGAGAAUGUAUUGGCAGAUGCUUUGUCACGUGCUUUUUGAGCUUGGUUUCUUUUACCUGGAGUAUUCCAAACAUUUAUGUUUGGACUUAUAAGGGUGGGGGUGUUACAUGCCUGCAGGCUGUUUGUUUCUCUUUCCCCUCCCCCUUUGUCUCUUCACAGGUAUUAGGGAAAGCUGGUGUCAAUCUCCCUUGAUUGACCCUCAUCAACCAUGGGCCAAUCAGCAUCCAGGGAGGCCUUAUUUAAGCAGCCCAGCUGGGGAGAGCGGUGGAAACUGGCUUUGUUACCUGACGCAUGUCUUGUUGCUCUUUGUAUGAAGGUUUGUGGUGGGAGUUAGAGGGUGAGGUAAGUUUGGGGUACCCUGUACAUUUCAUCACGUAGGUGUUUGUUCUGUUAGAUACACUAGGUAAGUAGGUGGGUGCCGCCCAUGUAAAGUUUUGGUGGAAACUUUUGUUAGAUUAGAUAGGCAGGGUUUUUGUUUUCUUUUGUUUCUCUAGCACAGACGGAAGUUAGGCCCUGUUUUGUUUUAUUAUUUUCUUUGAUUUGGCACCACCUAACCACCCCUUUCUCCCCCACAGUUUGUGUGAGCCUUCUGGGAUUUUCAAUAUCAAUAAAUCCCUCC